CUCGACUGCAUAAUUUGUGGUAGUGGGG
rnacentral:piRNA from 6 species